GAGCCCGCACAAGCAGUGGAGUAUGUGGUUUAAUUCGACGCAACGCGAAGAACCUUACCGGAGCUUGACAUCCCUCUGACCGGCCGAGUAAUGUUGGCCUUUCCUUCGGGACAGAGGAGACAGGUGGUGCAUGGUUGUCGUCAGCUCGUGUCGUGAGAUGUUGGGUUAAGUCCCGCAACGAGCGCAACCCUUAUGUUUAGUUGCUACGCAAGAGCACUCUAGACAGACUGCCGUUGACAAAACGGAGGAAGGUGGGGACGACGUCAAAUCAUCAUGCCCCUUACGCCCCGGGCUACACACGUACUACAAUGGUGAGAACAAAGAGAAGCGAGACCGCGAGGUGGAGCUAACCUCAUAAAAAUCAUCCCAGUUCGGACUGCAGGCUGCAACCCGCCUGCACGAAGUUGGAAUUGCUAGUAAUCGCGAAUCAGCAUGUCGCGGUGAAUACGUUCCCGGGCUUU
rnacentral:rRNA from 1 species